rnacentral:rRNA from 1 species
AGUGGAUGGGGAGCAACCUAGUUGUGCGUGUGUAAAGGUAGUGCCAAGAAAAGCGAUGAUCAUGUUGAAAAUCAAUUCCCGGUACCCGAAACCGACACAGGUGGGCAAGUAGAGAAUACUAAGGGGCGCGAGGUAACUCUCUCCAAGGAACUCGGCAAAAUGACCCCGUAACUUAGGGAGAAGGGGUGCCACCGAGAGGUGGUCGCAGUGAAGAGGCCCAGGCGACUGUUUAGCAAAAACAUAGGUCUCUGCAAACUCGAAAGAGGAGGUAUAGGGGCUGACGCCUGCCCAGUGCCGGAAGGUUAAAGAAGUUGGUCAGUUUUAGGAUGAAGCUAGCGACUGAAGCCCCGGUGAACGGCGGCCGUAACUAUAACGGUCCUAAGGUAGCGAAAUUCCUUGUCGGGCAAGUUCCGACCCGCACGAAAGGCGUAACGAUCUGGGCGCUGUCUCGGAGAGAGGCUCGGCGAAAUAGGAUUGUCUGUGAAGAUACGGACUACCUGCAUUUGGACAGAAAGACCCUAUGAAGCUUUACUAUAGCUUGGAAUUGUGUUCGGGCUUCCUGUGCGCAGGAUAGGUGGGAGGCGUAGAAGGUAUUCUUGUGGGGAUACUGGAGCCAACGGUGAGAUACCACUCUCAGGAGGCUAGAAUUCUAACUUAAUUAAGGACAGUUUCAGGUGGGUAGUUUGACUGGGGCGGUCGCCUCCAAAAAGGUAACGGAGGCGUACAAAGGUUCCCUCAGACUGGUUGGAAAUCAGUCGAAGAGUGCAAAGGCAGAAGGGAGCUUGACUGCGAGAAGUACAGUUCGAGCAGGGUGGAAACACGGUCUUAGUGAUCCGACGGUGCUGUGUGGAAGGGCCGUCGCUCAACGGAUAAAAGUUACUCUAGGAUAACAGGCUGAUCUCCCCAAGAGUUCACAUCGACGGGGAGGUUUGGCACCUCGAUGUCGGCUCAUCGCAACCUGGGGCGGAAGUACGUCCCAAGGGUUGGGCUGUUCGCCCAUUAAAGCGGUACGUGAGCUGGGUUCAGAACGUCGUGAGACAGUUCGGUCCAUAUCCGAUGUAGGCGUGAGAAUAUUGAGAGGAGCCUUCCUUAGUACGAGAGGACCGGGAAGGACGCACCGCUGGUGUACCUGUUAUGAUGCCAAUUGUAAACGCAGGGUAGCCAAGUGCGGAGAGGAUAACCGCUGAAAGCAUCUAAGUGGGAAGCCCACCUCAAGAUGAGUAUUCUGGUGUAAGGUCACGGGAAGACGACCCGUAAAUAGGCACGAGGUGGAAGUGCAGAGAUGUAUGAAGCCGAAGUGUACUAAUAGACCGUCGGCUUGACCU